GCAACCACUACUAGAUGAUCGAUAGAUACCUUUAAGCACAAUUUUGAUGUACUUGUACUUUACUUGAGUAUUUCCAUUUUAUGCUUUUAUAUACUCCACUACAUUCCAAAGGAGAGUAGUGUAAUUUUUACUUCAUUUAUUUGACGGCUAAAGUUACUUUGGAAAUGAAAGGCUCUGCACAUCCACACAGGUGUUUCCAAUCACUCUGGCUGAUUACAUGAAGUCACCAAACUCAAUCAAGUGCAGCCCUAAUUAGGUGCGUGAAAACACCUGUGUGGAUGGGCUACUGGUGUGCAGGCAAGACUUUUACUUUCAACAAGUGUUUUUACACACGGUGUUACUACAUUUACUUAAGUAAAGCAUACUUCUUCCACCACUGCUGGAAGGGAGGAAGACAGGAUGGACGGACAAACCAGUUUUAUCAAACAGGCAAGCCAGCUUUGUGUGCAUGUGAGUCUCUCUAGCUGAUGGCGGCCGCUCUGCGCUCAUACGGCGGUAACAGCUGAUAACGCCAUCCUGACCCACGGCGUCGACGUAGAAGCGUAUAGCACCCACCCUCCGAUUCCCCCCUUAGUGAGGUAUCUAUUGUUUCAGCGCUCUCUGUUCGUGACCACAUGGCCCAGCUCUCCAGGAUCAGAGAGGAAACAGCUCCGUGGUCAUGAGUGACAGAGUUUUUUCCCAAACCUGGAUUGAUGUGCAUUUCCACAUGCAAGAGCUCCUGCAUGACCGAUACAUACCCCCCAACAUAUUGAAUUCCACUUGUUCAGUAAUUGAUUUUUCUCAUCUCUCAUACUCUGAAGGCUGGAGCAGUCACCUCCUCAGUAAAUCAAUUAAUCUGGAGACGGAGUUGACCUACUCCGGCUGUAACCCCUGUUGUUUGAUAUCACUGAGCUAAUUUAAAUGAACAAGCAAGGGAGUGGUAGGCCUAUUAUACACUGAUAGCAGUGAGAAGAUAUUGAUUUUAAAACAUUCUUUGAAAUGAUGGUGAUGAAGCUAACAAGUCUCAGCGGGAGUGUGGACUAUGAAGAUACAUAAUUUAUCAAUACAUUCAUCAGUUAGAACAAAAGAUGAAGUAUGGGCUUUUUUUUAUCAGUGGUGGUGGAAAAGAAGAAGAGUUAGUAGGUCUGUAAAACAUGUCAAAGGCUAUAUGACCUUACAAUAAUGCCCUCCACCCUUCCUUUUUUUCUGUCACUCCUUUCAUACUAAAUGAGACAUCCUCUCCAUCCUUUUUAUUUCAUGUCCAUGUCAGUCACACAUGGGGAAAGAGCAGGAACCCGACAGAUACAUAGCCUACAUAUUAUAAAACACUAGCCUGCACUUCACCUGAGAAAACUGACACAUCUAGUCUUGACAUAAAAAGAAGCUAAUGAGCCAAAAGGUAAUUAGCAGUCUGUCAAGUGAUGUAAUUAACCCACGUUAACUGUUUUCUGCACCACUUUAAGUGAAAGGAACAGUGUGUAACAUUUUGGGGGAUCUAUUAGCAGAAAUGGAAUAUAAUAUUCAUAACUAUGUUUUCAUUAGUGUAUAAUCACCUGAAAAUAAGAAUCAUCAUGUUUUUGUUAGCUUAGAAUGAGCCCUUCAUAUCUACAUAGGCAGCGGGUCCUCUUCACGGAGUCCACCAUGUUUCUCUGCCAUGUUUCAACAUAGCCAAGAAUGGAAAAAAACAAACACUGCAUUUUUACGUUGCCUGUAGGUCACCGCAGUUCUCCGACACGUUUGUGAAACUGCGGUAACGUGAGCUGCAGAAUGCAAAACCGCAGUAUCGCCAGCCGCCGUUUGUCUUCUGUUGCUCCUAAAGUAGUGUUAUUAUGGUAAGGAUGGCCUCUGAGCGAGGCAAACGGCGUUACCACGGCUUUGCACUCGGUGGCUCACAUUACCACAGUCUUGGAAAGGGAGGAGAGAGCGGAGGAGUACUCAGUUGGUUGCAAUCUGCAACCACACCACUAGAUGCCACCAAAUCCUACACACUGCACCUUUGAGUUAGACAGAAGACAGAGCACAUCUUGUAUUUUGAUAUAAUUUGAUAUAAAUACAAAACGCUACAUAGAUAUAUAGAUGUUUCAGUUGUGUGAGAGAGAGAGGCAAAGUAAGAAAAGAUGAAAUGGUUAUUUUAGUUAUUUUGGUUCAUAACAUUCUGUGAUGUAUUUGUAAGCAGAUAUAAUGUCCUUUUUAAGUGUUUAUUGAUUUAGUUGUCAACAACUUUAACUCCUCCUGUGAAGCCUCCAUAACUCAUAACUGGAUGCUGGUGUAAACAGAUAAUGAAUGGCAAUAUAUAUAAUAUGACUUCUUAGGUGAAGUUAUACAAUUGUUGAAAAUACUGUACAUUAACAAACACGUCAAAAUGUCCUUAUAUCUGCGUAUAACUACUAAUAAUGUGUUAUAUUGACGCUUGUAGAUGCUUUAUGAGGGGGGCAAUAAAGUAAAGUGUUACUGAUGGAAUUAAUGGACGUGGAAAGAAUAUUUGGGAAUAUAAUAUCAUGAGUGAAAAGUGCAGUGGCAGUACUACUGGCAAAUACUGGAGGGAGGGACAACAUAACCAUUACAGUAUAAUAAUCUAACACAAUAGCCCUGCAAUGCUUAAUGCCUUUGAGAAACUUACAGUAUGAUGCUCAGUGUUUGUGAGACACCACUAGUUUAUGGUGCUCUCAUCACAUUAUAUUGCCAGGUGUUCCUUUUAUUUUGUCCACCUCCAGCUUGUAUGUUCAUGUGUGGGUAUCUAUUAUGGGUCAUUCACAUGCAUGUGGGUGUGAACACAACCGUGCACUUAAAGUCAGCUGGUCAUUGGUAUGUAUUGAUUCUCAUCCGUUUGCCUCUUGUGGCUGUCAGCAUGUUUCUUCGUGUCAUUGUGAAUAAAAGCCCAUUAGGUUUGUUUAAUGACGCCGGUUGCCAUGGAAACAGCCUCCCGCUUUACAGUGAUGGAGGAGAGAAAAAGAAGGGAGCGGCUGAAGGGCUCAGGGGGGCAGAGGUUUACUGCAUGUGUGUGUGUGUGUGUAGGCCAGGUACUCUGUAAAAUGUAUGUAAAAUGCAAUAUCUUGCUGAAAAUGGUUUAUGUGCACAUAAGACUACAAUUGAGUCUAACUCAUCAGCUGAACACCAAUAUGCCUUUUCACUCGGGGCUACAGGAGGCUAAAUUGAUCAGAAACAUGCCAAUGGGUGUGUACCAACCACCAGCGUACAGCGUAUGUGUAGCAGAGGCCCAAUGUAUAAUGCAUGACUUUUAUUCCUUUGGCACAAGAAGCCAGUGUUUUUGAUACACAUAGUCAAAUUUAACAGACUAGUUUUCCGGCCUGAUGUAGCUGUGAAGUGUUUAAUGCUGUAUUUAUUGUCUACAGACAGUUACUCAGUAGACUGCAUCUAAUUUGAAGGUGUAAUUAUACAUGUUAGUUAAGCUCAAAGCUGUAAACCUCUAAAGGGAAGAGCCAUGAAAUGUGGGCGAGAAAUGUAAUUAUGUUUCCUUUUUUCUGAUGAUUAUUUUUUUAUGAUUGGACACAGUAUACCUCCAUUUUUUUCUUGGCAUGAUCUUUGGAUUAAUCAGCCAUCUGCACAGCAAGAAUUGCUGUUUGUAAUCAUUACAUGUAAAAACUGAGAUUGAAUUUUAUGGGAAAAGAACAGCAUGCAGUCUGUGAUUAUCUCUCGGCUGCCUUUUAGUAUUUUGGAUUUUCUACUUUGUACAUUUUUUUUUACUUUUUCUGCACUUUAACAGAGAGGUUUCAUUGAAUAUACUCUCAUUGCAAUGUACUAGUGAGCCACUGAAAGCCAAAGGCUGUGGCUCAGUCCUCCAUCUGCGUUUGUUCCCUCUCUCUCAUGCUCCUCUGCUCCCUGCCAGAAAUGUCGUUUCAAGCUCACCAGACCACAAUAUAUGCUGCUCCCAACACCUCAAAAUAUCUGCUCUACUUACACAGCCACUGUUCACACAAUGGAUUUGCAUGCAACAUGACAACUGCUCUGCAUGCACUAAAUCAUACAACAUAUUUCCUGCCAUCACUGUUCGCUGCACUUAUCGCCACGCCCGUCUGGGAACCACGUGCGGAUUAACUCUCUCUGACAGACCUGGAAGUGUUUCUGGGAUGACAGACGUUUAGGGACACAACCUUCAGCCACAGUUCAGCUCACAUUGUCAGAUCAGUGGAAUUAUUAGGUUUCCACUUUCAAAGACGUUGACCUGCAUGUGGUCAGAAUUGCCGACCCCUGUUAGACAAGGUCACUGAUUAUGGA